rnacentral:rRNA from 1 species
AAUAUUGGACAAUGGGGGCAACCCUGAUCCAGCCAUGCCGCGUGUGUGAAGAAGGUCUUCGGAUUGUAAAGCAAUUUAAGGUGGGAGGAAGGGCUGUAGGUUAAUACACUGAAGUUUUGACGUUACCAACAGAAUAAGCACCGGCUACCUCUGGGCCAGCAGCAGCGGUAAUACAGAGGGUGCAAGGUUUAAUCGGAAUUACGGGGCGUAAAGCGCGCGUAGGUGGUUCAGUAAGAUGGGUGUGAAAUCCCCGGGCUUAACCUGGGAACUGCUUUCAUAACUGCUGAGCUAGAGUACGGUAGAGGGUAGUGGAAUUUCCUGUGUAGCGGUGAAAUGCGUAGAUAUAGGAAGGAACACCAGUGGCGAAGGCGACUACCUGGACUGAUACUGACACUGAGGUGCGAAAGCGUGGGGAGCAAAC